UACAGGGGGUGCAAACGUUGCUCGGAAUCACUGGGCGUAAAGCGCACGUAGGCGGCUUUUUAAGUCAGAGGUGAAAUCCUGGAGCUCAACUCCAGAACUGCCUUUGAUACUGAGAGGCUUGAGUCCGGGAGAGGUGAGUGGAACUGCGAGUGUAGAGGUGAAAUUCGUAGAUAUUCGCAAGAACACCAGUGGCGAAGGCGGCUCACUGGCCCGGUACUGACGCUGAGGUGCGAAAGCGUGGGGAGCAAACAGG
rnacentral:rRNA from 1 species